UAGAGUUUGAUCCUGGCUCAGAUUGAACGCUGGCGGCAGGCCUAACACAUGCAAGUCGAGCGGCAGCACAAGUGAGUUUACUCAUGAGGUGGCGAGCGGCGGACGGGUGAGUAAUGCCUAGGGAUCUGCCCAGUCGAGGGGGAUAACAGUUGGAAACGACUGCUAAUACCGCAUACGCCCUACGGGGGAAAGAGGGGGACUUUCGGGCCUCUCGCGAUUGGAUGAACCUAGGUGGGAUUAGCUAGUUGGUGAGGUAAUGGCUCACCAAGGCGACGAUCCCUAGCUGUUCUGAGAGGAUGAUCAGCCCACCACUGGGGACUUGAAACACGGCCCAGACUCCUACGGGGAGGCAGCAGUGGGGGAAAAAUUGCAAAAUGGGGGGAACCUCUGAUGCAGCCUUGCCGGCGGGUGGUGAAGAAAGGCCCUUCGGGGUUUGUAAAGCCACUUUUCAGUAGGGAAGGAAAAGGGUAAAUUCCUAAUACCAACUUAAUUCUGUUGACGUUUCCCUUCCAGAAAAAGGGACGGGGCAUAACUCCCGUGCCAGCAGCCGCGGUAAUUACGGAGGGUCCAAGCGUUAAUUCGAAAUUAACUGGGCCGUAAAAGCGUCGCGCAGGCCGGUUUGUUUAAGCGAGAUGUGAAAGCCCCUGGGGCUUCAACCCUAGAAAUUCGGCAUUUCGAAACUGACCAACUAGGAGUUCUUGGUAGAGGGGGGGUAGAAUUUCCAGGGUGUAGCGGGUGAAAUGCGUAGAGAUCUGGAAGGAAAUACCCGUUGCAAAGGCGCCCUCUGGAACAAGACUGACGUCUCAUGCACUAAAGCGGUGGAGACGCAAACAGUAUUAGAUGCCGUGUAGUCCACGCCGUAACGAUGCCUACUCGGAGUUGUGUCUGACACUGGCUCUCAAGCUAACGCAUCAGUCACGCUGGUAUACGGCUCGAGCUAAACUCACUGAUGACGAGCUCCGCCUAACCAGGU
rnacentral:rRNA from 1 species